GUGAUAACUCUUGCAGCACAUAUACUAAAACUGGAACAACACAGAGAAGAUUAGAAUUCUGUGCAAAAAUGACAUGAAAAUUUAAUUUCAUUUAACUUUUUUA
ensembl:snRNA U6 U6 spliceosomal RNA